AGGGUAAAGUUUUUUUAAAUUUAAUAAUUGAAGUUAUUUUAAUUUGUGAAGAAACAAUUAUAUAAAUUAAAGACAAGAAGACCCUAAGAAUUUAAGAAUUUUUAUUAAUAUAUUAUAUGUAUAUAUAUAAAUAAAAUUCUUAGUUGGGGCAACUAAAAAAUAUAUUAAACUUUUUUUUUAAAAAAAUGACCCAUUAUUAAUGAUAAUAUGAAAAAAA
rnacentral:rRNA from 1 species